rnacentral:tRNA from 1 species
UUGUCGUUAGCUAAGUUUGUUGAGCAGUUGACUUUUAAUCAAUUGGUCGCAGGUUCGAAUCCUGCACGACCCA